UACGUAGGGGGCGAGCGUUGUCCGGAAUUAUUGGGCGUAAAGCGCACGCAGGCGGUUCGCUAAGUUCGAGGUGACAAUCACCGGCUUAACCGGUGAACGAUUUCGAAAACUGGCGGACUUGAGGGCGAGAGGGGGACAUGGAACUCCGGGUGGAGCGGUGAAAUGCGUAGAGAUCCGGAAGAACACCACUAGCGAAGGCAGUGUCCUGGCUCGUAUCUGACGCUGAGGUGCGAAAGCUAGGGGAGCGAACGGG
rnacentral:rRNA from 1 species